UAUUUCUUUCCCUAUUCACAUAAAAUGAGUAAAACCCUAUUAAACUAAAGCCAUCCCAAUUUGUCUCCCCCUUUCUUCAUCACAUCCGAAACCCAAAAUCCUCGAAAUGACCAGGAUUCAAUUGCUGACCGAACUCAGACAUAAUCUGUUGCUGCUGCGGCGCCUGAACAGGACUCCCGUGUUGGCCAGUCCAGUCCAUGUUAGACCCAGGCAUAGCCAAAGUAGCAUCAACCGUAGUUAUAUCAUGGAUGCUCGACCUUUUCCUCUCCUUCUUCACCGAGUUCUGUCUCAGAAAAUACUUCUGAGCGUGACUCGCGACUUGCGUCGGUGUCCUCGUCACCACAACGUUUCUCGAGAUACUCCUCCAAUCUCCCUUACCAUAUCUCUUUAAUCCGAUCAGAAACAAUCUGCAUCAAUAAAAUUCAUAUCAAACAAUGUAAUUAAAUCACCUAAAUUUAGCAAAAUUGCAUUUAAUUCCUAAAUUCUCAAACCAACCAAAACCCUAAUUUUUUUGAAAUGAUUGAUAAAGAAACAUACUUGUGUUCGUUCUCUGUCCAAGG